rnacentral:rRNA from 1 species
GACGAACGCUGGCGGCGUGCUUAACACAUGCAAGUCGAACGGAAAGGCCCUGCUUUUGUGGGGUGCUCGAGUGGCGAACGGGUGAGUAACACGUGAGUAACCUGCCCUUGACUGUGGGAUAACUUCAGGAAACUGGGGCUAAUACCGGCUAGGAGCUCCUGCUGCAUGGUGGGGGUUGGAAAGUUUCGGCGGUUGGGGAUGGACUCGCGGCUUAUCAGCUUGUUGGUGGGGUAGUGGCUUACCAAGGCUUUGACGGGUAGCCGGCCUGGGAGGGGGACCGGCCACAUUGGGACUGAGAUACGGCCCAGACUCCUACGGGAGGCAACGGGGGGGAAUAUUGCACAAUGGGCGGAAGCCUGAGGCAGCAACGCCGCGUGCGGGAUGACGGCCAUGGGGUUGGAAAGCGCUUUAGCCUGUGACGAAGCGUGAGUGACGGUAAUGGGUAAAGAAGCACCGGCUAACUACGUG